rnacentral:tRNA from 1 species
GCCGUCCUAGCUCAAUGCAAAGAGCGCAUCGGUCCUAACGAUGAAGAUGCGGGUUGAAGUCCCGCGGACGGUUCCA